UUCAUGAAGUCGGAAUUGCUAGUAAUGGCAGGUCAGCAUACUGCCGUGAAUACGUUCCCGGGCCUUGUACACACCGCCCGUCACACCAUGAGAGUUGGAGAUACCCGAAGCCUAUGAGCUAACUUUUAGAGGCAGUAGUCGAAGGUAGAAUCAAUGAUUGGGGUGAAGUCGUAACAAGGUACC
rnacentral:rRNA from 1 species